CUAAAAAUCCUCUAGUUACACUAAAAUCUAUUGAUCAUCAAUGAUAUUGAAGCUAUAAAUAUUCUGAUUUUAAAUAAGUUU